ACUUUACUAAAGCCUUCCAUCUCUCGCAUCUUCUCAGUCGGUCAUAGAAGUCUCACAACCAAGCCAUAUAUCUUAAAUCCUUCUUUUUUCUUUCCUUUAUUGCCAAAGAGUGCGGUUUGUUGUGGGAACAAGUUUUUCCUUUCCUUUAUUGCCAAAGAGUGCGGUUUGUUGUGGGAACAAGCACCGGACGAGUAAGGGGAAGUGUGUGGUGUAUGAUACUUCAAACCUAGAUAAUCAACCAAUAAAAAACUCUCAAAGCUCCGUUAGAAGUUCAGAUUCUAAACGCACUCAGAAAGAUAUUUUAAGACAGCAACUCCGAGUUAGAUCGUCGUGGGCACUGCUUGUGGAGCUUGAACGACGACUUUUUAGGUCACUAAUAUCCCACUAAACUCCUAGAUAAGCCAGGCAUCUCGUGGUGAUCCCACGCAAAGCAACCUUGGUACUCCCAAAUCAAGCCGUAAUCGUUAUUUCUGUUCCAGAGGUAACAAUGAGCUGAUCUACAUCAUUUGAAAGUAGUAACAAACUGAUCUGCAUCAUUGGAGGGGCUGAAUCGUCACCAAGAUUGAUAUCUUCGACAGGAUCCUAAGCCUCGAUCAAUGGGGUAGCCUUCUGGAUAGGCGAUGAAAGUUCUGUUUCGUUCUGAUCCUCCGGGGAAGGCGGCAGAUGUGAAGAAUUUGUCUGCUUCUCAAAUAUACUUCAUAUUUUGGUCCUUCGAUGUCACUAUAUGUCUCAUUAAUCCACCACUUCAGGUUCCGUAUCAUUCUCGAUCCUUAUUCAUCACGAAAAAAUAGGAAAAAAAACUGUGUGUUUGUCUAUAUGUGGAUUUUGAAUUCUUUAAUAGCGAGAUUGCAUUCCGUCAAAAUUUCUAGAACUUGUUUUGCAAGAAGACGCUAAUAUUUACCGGAAAAUCAUUUUUGUAAUAUAGCGCUCGCUUCAAAUCCCGGUUGAAAUAGACGUUAGUAGUACCUUCAGAGGUGUUUGUUGCUCUAAAUUGUCUGUCUUCUGAGACAACCUGUUUUGGCCUUCAUUCUCGUCGUCUUCUCCUC